AGUAAGUUCGAUUAGCCAAAUCAUAGAUUUGGAAUCUCACUUAAGUUGACGAGGUUGGGGAGUUAUCGAAACUUCGGCGGGUGCCCCACGGUAAAAGGUAUCUUUAUGCAAUCAUUUUUGUUAAGAUACUGAAAGCACUACCGUUAACGACUGGCAAAACUUUAAAGUGAUUUAAAGUACAAAUCCAGUUAGGUGUUAAAG
rnacentral:ncRNA from 2 species